GACAGAGGGUGCAAACGUUUGUUCAGAAUUACUGGGCGUAAAGCGCGUGUAGGCGGCCCUGCAAGUCGGAUGUGAAAUCCCACGGCUCAACCGUGGAAGUGCAUUCGAAACUGCAGGGCUAGAGUCCUGGAGAGGAAGGUGGAAUGCUUGGUGUAGAGGUGAAAUUCGUAGAUAUCAAGCGGAACACCGGUGGCGAAGGCGGCCUUCUGGACAGUGACUGACGCUGAGACGCGAAAGCGUGGGGAGCAAACAGG
rnacentral:rRNA from 1 species